CAAAAAUGUUAAAACAAAUUCAAUAGAUUUAGAUAACAAUAUAGAAAACAAGCCACCUACUGCAUCACUGGCUAGAUUGCAAAAGAAAAAGAAGAACAUUAACGAGCAGAUUAAUAUUAACAUGCGAUCCAAAGCUCAGAGAUCAACGUUAAAUGGUUGGGAUUGUUGGGAAUGUGAAAAAUAUUACAAGAGUCUAUCUUUGUCUAAAACAGAGUUACAGAAGCGAAAAAAUAAAUGCUCAAGACAUAGGAAGAAAUAUGAGAGACCACAUACACCAAAAGGAUUUUGGGAACCAGAAAUUCCUGAGACACCAUUAACCAUGCACAACAACAAAAAAAUAUAAUUACUCCGCUAUAUUUUUA